AUGAACGCUGGCGGCGUGCCUAAUACAUGCAAGUCGAGCGAACAGAUGAGGAGCUUGCUCCUCUGACGUUAGCGGCGAACGGGUGAGUAACACGUGGAUAACCUACCUAUAAGACUGGGAAAACUUCGGGAAACCGGAGCUAAUACCGGAUAAUAUAUUGAACCGCAUGGUUCAAUAGUGAAAGACGGUUUUGCUGUCACUUAUAGAUGGAUCCGCGCCGCAUUAGCUAGUUGGUAAGGUAACGGCUUACCAAGGCAACGAUGCGUAGCCGACCUGAGAGGGUGAUCGGCCACACUGGAACUGAGACACGGUCCAGACUCCUACGGGAGGCAGCAGUAGGGAAUCUUCCGCAAUGGGCGAAAGCUUGACGGAGCAACGCCGCGUGAGUGAUGAAGGUCUUCGGAUCGUAAAACUCUGUUAUUAGGGAAGAACAAAUGUGUAAGUAACUAUGCACGUCUUGACGGUACCUAAUCAGAAAGCCACGGCUAACUACGUG
rnacentral:rRNA from 1 species